rnacentral:rRNA from 1 species
CGGGUGAGUAAUGUAUGGGGAUCUGCCUGAUGGCGGGGGAUAACUACUGGAAACGGUAGCUAAUACCGCAUAAUGUCUACGGACCAAAGCGGGGGACCUCCGGGCCUCGCGCCAUCAGAUGAACCCAUAUGGGAUUAGCUAGUAGGUGAGGUAACGGCUUACCUGGGCGACGAUCCCUAGCUGGUCUGAGAGGAUGAUCAGCCACACUGGGACUGAGACACGGCCCAG